GUAGUUCGGAAUUACUGGGCUUAAAGAGUUCGUAGGUGGUUAAAAAAGUUGAUGGUGAAAUCCCAGAGCUUAACUCUGGAACUGCCAUCAAAACUUUUUAGCUAGAGUAUGAUAGAGGAAAGCAGAAUUUCUAGUGUAGAGGUGAAAUUCGUAGAUAUUAGAAAGAAUACCAAUUGCGAAGGCAGCUUUCUGGAUCAUUACUGACACUGAGGAACGAAAGCAUGGGUAGCGAAGAGGAUUAGAUACCCUCGUAGUCCAUGCCGUAAACGAUGUGUGUUAGACGUUGGAAAUUUAUUUUCAGUGUCGCAGUGAAAACAGUAAACACACCGCCUGGGGAGUACGACCGCAAGGUUAAAACUCAAAUGAAUUGACGGGGACCCGCACAAGUAGUGGAGCAUGUGGUUUAAUUCGAAGAUACGCGCAGAACCUUACCAACACUUGACAUGUUCGUCGCGACUCUAAGAGAUUAGAGUUUUCGGUUCGGCCGGACGAAACACAGGUGCUGCAUGGCUGUCGUCAGCUCGUGUCGUGAGAUGUUGGGUUAAGUCCCGCAACGAGCGCAACCCUUACUUUUAGUUGCCAUCAUUUAGUUGGGCACUCUGAAAGAACUGCCAGUGAUAAGCUGGAGGAAGGUGGGGAUGACGUCAAGUCCUCAUGGCCCUUACGUGUUGGGCUACACACGUGCUACAAUGGCAUUUACAAUAGGAAGCAAGAUGGCGACAUCAAGCAAAUCCUAAAAAAAUGCCUCAGUUCGGAUUGCACUCUGCAACUCGAGUGCAUGAAGCUGGAAUUACUAGUAAUCGCGGAUCAGCGUGC
rnacentral:rRNA from 1 species